rnacentral:misc_RNA from 1 species
UUAACUAUUAGAUAGUACUCAGACGACACUAACAUUCAGAGUUUUAGAUCCUCUGGCACGCGCGAGCCAGCCGGAGCCGGUGCCCGAAGGCGGCGUGCCAAAGCAACAAGUAUAUAAUACGCAAAGGGUGAGGUUUGCUACCCAGAGGGCAGCGAACACUGUAAUGAUCCUUCCGCAGGUUCACCUACGGAAA